rnacentral:hammerhead_ribozyme from 1 species
AUUUAGCUGACGAGUCCAAAAUAGAACGAAAUGUAUGUCCUGAAU